rnacentral:rRNA from 1 species
UACGAAGGGGGCUAGCGUUGCUCGGAAUCACUGGGCGUAAAGCGCACGUAGGCGGUAUCUUUAAGUCAGGGGUGAAAUCCCGAAGGCUCAACCUCGGAACUGCCUUUGAUUACUGGGGAUCUCGAAGUCCGGGAGAGGUGAGUGGAAAUUCCGUAGUGUAGAGGUGAAAUUCGUAGAUAUUAAGGAAGAACACCAGUGGCGAAGGCGGCAUCACUGGCCCGGUACUGACGCUGAGGCGCGAAAGCGUGGGGAGCAA